UCAGUUGAGGGGAAUGUUGUCUGGCUCGAGGUCACCAACUAGAUCCAUAAGCUCCACUUUAUGCUUAUUUGAACAUAAAGAUUAGUUUUGUAAUAUAAAGAUUCGUUGAUUAUAUGAAAAGGGGUUAUGGAUCAUGAGUUAGUGUUGUCGGACCAGGCUUCAUUCCCCCCAAUUGUUA
rnacentral:pre_miRNA from 1 species